CGCCUGGGGAGUACGGCCGCAAGGUUAAAACUCAAAUGAAUUGACGGGGGCCCGCACAAGCGGUGGAGCAUGUGGUUUAAUUCGAUGCAACGCGAAGAACCUUACCUGGUCUUGACAUCCACGGAAGUUUUCAGAGAUGAGAAUGUGCCUUCGGGAACCGUGAGACAGGUGCUGCAUGGCUGUCGUCAGCUCGUGUUGUGAAAUGUUGGGUUAAGUCCCGCAACGAGCGCAACCCUUAUCCUUUGUUGCCAGCGGUCCGGCCGGGAACUCAAAGGAGACUGCCAGUGAUAAACUGGAGGAAGGUGGGGAUGACGUCAAGUCAUCAUGGCCCUUACGACCAGGGCUACACACGUGCUACAAUGGCGCAUACAAAGAGAAGCGACCUCGCGAGAGCAAGCGGACCUCAUAAAGUGCGUCGUAGUCCGGAUUGGAGUCUGCAACUCGACUCCAUGAAGUCGGAAUCGCUAGUAAUCGUGGAUCAGAAUGCCACGGUGAAUACGUUCCCGGGCCUUGUACACACCGCCCGUCACACCAUGGGAGUGGGUUGCAAAAGAAGUAGGUAGCUUAACCUUCGGGAGGGCGCUUACCACUUUGUGAUUCAUGACUGGGGUGAAGUCGUAACAAGGUAACCGUAGGGGAACCUGCGGUUGGAUCACCUCCUUA
rnacentral:rRNA from 1 species